CCGCCCACGUCAGCGCCUGGCGCGGGCCCGAACAAACCACGGCAUGGAGACGGAAUGAUGCAGACUCCUAUCCGCGAGAUACCUGCUGUAAUUUCGCUGUGGUUCGUGAGGACGCGUCCUGGGCUGCCCUGAGAAGCCUACGUCUCCCCUUCGAGGCCCGGGAAGACCUCCAACCCCGCUGACAAUGCUGGGCCCUCAGCCAGACCUGCCCUGCGUGCCACGUUCUGUUCUAAGAUCGGGCUGCCGAGCUGUGGCCUGGAGGAAACCUGGCAGGUGUCACCAGAGCUUUGGGGAGGGUGAGGCCCUGUCGGGGAAGCCCAGUGGGAGUCAUGAAGGAGGGAACACGUGUGGAGCCCUUGUAGGGGGAGGGGCAGCCCUGCAGAGAUCUAAGAAAAAAUUCCAGAAAAAUGAGCAGCAACCUCCAAGGCCAGGCAUCGGUGCAGGGGACAAGGGGUCGUAGCUGGAGGGGCCUAGGUGAGGCUGCCGGGAAGGGACGAUGUGGUUGGUGGAGUGCACAGGCAGGGACCUCACUGGACUUUCCUGUCUGCUCAGCAUGGACAGGCAGCCCAGGAGAAGGCAGCACGUGGCCGGGUGCAGGGACGUACCACCCCCACUUCCCCAGGGGAGCUGGGGUCAGACGAGUCCCAGGCACUCCAUCCUCUGCAGCAAGUCAGGUUGUGAUUUACUAGGGGGUGGUGAAUAUAAUGGAGAGACUUCUGGGGAGGAAUUCCUGGCUCCCGCGUGGACUUGCAGAGCUCAACAGGCAGCCACGUGGCUGAGUGUCCAGCAAACAUCACAUAAGGCUUUGGGUCCUGCAGGUGGGGCUGCCAUGAGCAGCAAGCUCAGUCCAGAAGAACAGUUCCUCUCCAGGAUCCACUUCCUGCGCACUUUUAUGUGCAGUGUAGCUGGAGCAGAGCUCCCCGGAAUUCCACAGGCAACUGAGAACGGAGAGGGAUGCAGGCCAGCCAGGGAUCCAGCGUCUUCCCCAUCGUCACUCUCCAUGGCCUCCGUCUACACACAGUGUUCGUCUGCACAGCUUGUCAGCGCGUUAUCAUGACUUCUAUUUGGCACCGGCCCGUCUGUCCACUGUCCUGGCUUGUUCCAAGCGCUGCCUUCUCCAACUGGGGUCCUGGCUGCAGAGCUGUCUGCUCCCCACGUUGGGCAACUCCAGCCAAGAUUCCUACACCCAAAUGUGACCGUGUUGCUCACGAAGAAGGCUCAGCUUUGCGUGUGCCCAGCCGUGUGCACAGCUCGUCCCAACUCCUGCGGGUGGCACCUGCCUCUCCCACCUCCAGUCUUUCCCCUGUGAUGAGCAGAUGACCACCGCCCUCCAGGGUCAGCGUUUGGCUGUUUGUGUGCCUGCCCACCCGCCUCCCUGUGCCUGGGCCUGCCCUGUGCCUGCACACAGGAGUGGCUCAUGGCGUUUGCCCUACACGGAUGGGCUGUCCUGGGAGCUACUGGACAGUCACCUUGGUGGGAAUGCCAGAGGCAUGGGCAUUAGGUCCCCCCGGCCAGCCUCCGUUGCCACAUGGGCUAUUUUUGUCCAUCGCGUGGGACAACCUAGUAUUGGGGGAAAACUCAGUCCACUCUAAAGAAGCAUCGGCGUUUUGGAUGGACGAAUGCUGCUUCAUGCGACUCCAUGUCAAUGGACUAUUUUAUUCAACUCGGGUAUUUAUGAGUGUCUCCUCUGUGCCAGCCACGUGUGAAAGAAGAACUCCAAGUUACUGGACACCAGGACAAACCAGGAGUCUCGCUGUGUCACCCAGGCUGGAGUGCAGUGGUGUGAUCUUGGCUUACUGCAACCUCUGCCUCCCAGGUUCAAGUGAUUCUCCUGCCUCAGCCUCCCAAGUACCUGGGACUACAGAUCUUUAGAUAAGCACUCUUUCAACCAAAUGCCAAUCAGAAAAUCUUUGAAUCCACCUGUGAGCUGGAAGCCCCGCUGUGCUUUGUGUUGUCCUGCCUUUUCGGACCAAUGUAAAUCUCACAUGUACUGAUUGAUGCCUACAUCUCCUUAAAACGUAUAAAAUCAAGCUGUAACCCAACCACCUUGGGCAUGUGUUCUGAGGACCUCUUGAGGCUGUGUCACUGGUCAUGAUCCUUAACCUUGGCAACAUAAACUUCUAAACUGAUUGA
ensembl:lncRNA CTBP1-DT CTBP1 divergent transcript